AUGGCACAAACAUGGAGCAUGCCCAAGCUAGAAGCCAUCACCCACACAGGUCCCGAAUGGAUCAUUCAUCUACUCGAUGGUUGCAGCCCCGAAAAACGCCUUCCUGUGAUCAUGACUUUAUGGCGGAACUGGCAUCUUCUGAACAUCCAGCAGAACCCAAAUGUUGAUGUUGCUAAAGGGAAGGAGGUGGUCUCACACAGCGGCUGGGAUAGAAAGGGCAAAUUGAAUACAACACCAACAGAGAGGCCAAGGUCCAUGGUGAGCUGGAGCAAGCCACCACUAGGCUGGGUUAAACUUAAUAUUGAUGGAUCAUGGAUGGUGGAGGAGGGUACUGGAGGAGCUGGAAUGAUUCUGCUUGACCAUAGAGGUGCCAUUAUCUUUACCUCAUGCCGCUUUAUUCAGAGAUGCAGAAGUGGUCUCGAAGCAGAAGUUGCAGCGCUCACAGAAGGGGUUUCCCUGGCUAAUGAAAGGAGUUCUAAGAGUAUCAUCGUGGAAACAGACUAUGCUAUUGCAGCGCAUAUGGUUAGUGAUUCCUCUAUGGACAGAUCACCAAUGGUAGCAUUGAAAAUCCAAUGCCCCCAAGCCACCGCAACUCCUAGGUUCAAUCCUGCCAAGAAAUACACAAUUCUAGCAGCCCAGACUGUCAGGGCACUUCAUGCCCGGAUUAUUCGGGUAGAUGGUAUCUCGCACCUGAAGGUUGAAAAGGCAGGCUGGGCUAUCUGA
rnacentral:rRNA from 1 species